UACGAUGUCAGCGCCUACACUGAU
rnacentral:siRNA from 1 species